GCUCCCGUAGCUCAGUGGAUAGAGCACUUGGCUUCGGACCAAGGGGUCGGGCGUUCGAAUCGCUCCGGGAGCACCA
rnacentral:tRNA from 1 species